rnacentral:rRNA from 1 species
GACGAACGCUGGCGGCGUGCUUAACACAUGCAAGUCGAACGGAAAGGCCCUGCUUGCGGGGUACUCGCGUGGCGAACGGGUGAGUAACACAUGGGUGGUCUGCCCUGCUCUUCGGGUUGAGCUUGGUAAACUGGGUGUAAUACAGGAUAGAAACCAUCUUUAAUGUGGUGGUUGGAAAGUUUUUUCGGUUUAGGAUGAGCUCGCGACCUAUAAGCUUGUUGGUGGGGUAAUGGGCUAAGGAGGCGGCGACGGGUAGCCGGCCUGAGAGGGUGUACGGCCACAUUGGGACUCCGACACGGCGCAGACUCCGACGAGAGGCAGCAGUGGGGAAUAUUGUACAAUGGGCGCACGGCUGAUGUAGCGACGCCCCGUGGGGGAUGAAGCCCUUCGGGUUGUAAACUCCUAUUGCGAGGGACGAAGCGUUGUUGUGACGGUACCUAGAUAAGAAGCCCCGGCUAACUACGUG